GUAUCAAAUAUUUAUUAAUGACAUUUUUCAAAUAAAAUACUUAAUUGUAUAAAACACAUAUAUAUUACUAUGAUCCUGAAACAUAUCUUAAAAUUUACAAUUGCACAAGACUAUGUGAACAUGAGUUGUCUCCCAUACAUUAGCUAAAAUAAAAGCAAUGCAUUUAGUGGCAGACUGACAUUUAAAUAAAUGGGCUUCAAAAAAGAGACAACUGCAAAACAUGAGUAUAAAUGAUAGACCUGAUUUGAUUGCCAAAGAACCAUACUUUAAUAUGUUUUACAAAAGGCUCAAGAUAAAAAUGAAAAUUAACCUAUUUUCUGUUCCAGAUUUAAUAUAAAGCAUACCUAGUAAAGCUUAACAAGCUUGUUAUAUGAAUCUUAGGAGUAUGAAUUGUUUUGCAUAUUUACAAAAGAAAUAAAAGAAAAAAACUCAUAGCUUUCAAUGGAAUUCAUGCAUUUACAAACUGGCAGGUUUUGAUACACUGGCUCAUACAAGUUUUGUCUACCCUGAUUCAUUUGAAAACAAGUGUUGAUUUAUAUCAUGCAGCAAGAUGGAUUGAGUUUUAAAUUUUACUUUUGUAUGUAUGAAAACUCUGCAAGCAUGUCCACUGGGAAUUUAAUAUUAGUAUGUACCCAGUACAGUAAAUUAAGAAAUUAUUGAGUGCAUUAUUAUUGCGAUUUUGUCAUUUUAAACUAAAAAGCAAUUUUUAAAAUGAAAUGUGAGUUUAAAUUAUUGCAAUUAAAACUCUGUCACUUUUUUUCGUAAAAAUUUCUGAAUUUACAGUACUUAAAUCCUUCAACAAUACUGUCUAAUAAUUCCUAAAUGGUGGAAUUUUUAAACGAGUCUUCAUUGAUACAUAGAGAACCUACUACGAAUGGGAAAAGGUACAAUUUCAGAUUAAGGAUAAUAAAAAACCUGAAACUCUAAAAUAAAGAAACAAAAAUUUAAAUGUUAACAAACUGACCAUUUGAUUUGAGGAAAGUUAUCAAAGUUUAUUUAUUACAAUAACGACAGUUAAAUUAACUGUUUUUCUUCACAUGAAAUAACAAAUUCAUAUAUGACAUUCUAAAUGAAUAUUUAAAAAAAAAAAUCAAUACAAACUGUACAUCUGACAUUAACAUGAUAUAAUAUUAAUAAACAAUAAUGUAGAAUUAAUGUGUUGACUUAUUUCACCAAUAUCUAAUUUACUAAUUUUGUUCCCAUGCCAUUAUCCUUAUAUUUUUCCUCAUUCCCACAGUUGUAAAAUUCUGUCGAAUAUAUUUCUAAAGAGUUAGAUUUCACACAGUAAAUUCUAUAAGGACUAUUUUAUUAAAGACAUGUAGAAACAAAAAGCCGACCAUUUCUAACUCAGGACGACGGCAACUUCAUAAUAGAAUAAUUAGUUUGGUGUUAUUUUUUCUGUCUUGUUUAGAAAAUUUUUCCAUAUAACAUGAUUCUUAUAAAGACUGGCACUUAAUUAUUAGCAAACAUUCAGUAGAAAUAAAAACUAAAAUGAAACAUGGAAAAGGUCCAAAAUUAACUCCCUUCCCUACUCAAUAAUAUUCAAUUGAUAUGAAUAUAACCUUUUUAAAAAAUGCUGCUUUCUGUUUCAAGUAAGGAUAAAAGUUAACAGAAUGCUUAUUGCAAAACAUAGAUAACAUUUUAGCAUGGCAUUCCUAAAUAUAUAAUGUAUCCAGAUAUGAUCAUAUCAUUGAAGACUGAUACUUUAAAAUAGGAUUAAUAUAUUCAGCUAUAUACAAUAAUUUCU
rnacentral:lncRNA from 1 species